CUACGGGUGGCUGCAGUGAGGAAUAUUGCACAAUGGGGGGAACCCUGAUGCAGCAACGCCGCGUGGAGGAUGACGCAUUUCGGUGUGUAAACUCCUUUUAUAUGUCAAGAAAAUGACGGUAGCAUAUGAAUAAGCACCGGCUAACUCCGUGCCAGCAGCCGCGGUAAUACGGAGGGUGCAAGCGUUACUCGGAAUCACUGGGCGUAGAGGACGCGUAGGCGGGUUGGAAAGUCAGGUGUGAAAUCCUACAGCUUAACUGUAGAACUGCACUUGAAACUUCUAAUCUAGAGUAUGGGAGGGGGAGAUGGAAUUAGUGGUGUAGGGGUAAAAUCCGUAGAUAUCGCUAGGAAUACCUAAAGCGAAGGCGAUCUCCUGGAACAUUACUGACGCUAAGGCGUGAAAGCGUGGGGAGCAAACAGGAUUAGAUACCCCGGUAGUC
rnacentral:rRNA from 1 species